rnacentral:rRNA from 1 species
UACGGAGGGGGCUAGCGUUGUUCGGAAUUACUGGGCGUAAAGCGCACGUAGGCGGCUUUGUAAGUUAGAGGUGAAAGCCCGGAGCUCAACUCCGGAAUUGCCUUUAAGACUGCAUCGCUCGAAUCAUGGAGAGGUGAGUGGAAUUCCGAGUGUAGAGGUGAAAUUCGUAGAUAUUCGGAAGAACACCAGUGGCGAAGGCGACUCACUGGCCCGAUACUGACGCUGAGGCACGAAAGCGUGGGGAGCAAACAGG